rnacentral:misc_RNA from 1 species
AAAGUCGUAACAAGGUUUCCGUAGGUGAACCUGCGGAAGGAUCAUUUUAGAAUAUUAUUCAACACUUUUAGGAAAACAAACCAAACCUUUAUAUUAUCAACACUUCAAGAAAAUAACUUUCAACAACGGAUCUCUUGGUUCUC